UUUUCUUUCUUUUUUUUUUUUUUUGAAAGCAAGAGGACUUGAGUUGGUUGGCUGGUAUACACAUGCAAGAGCUUCUUUAUGGGUAUAGCCAGGAUGGAAUUUCUGGUCCCAGAAAUCUUUCAGCUUUAAAAGAUAAUGUCAAAUGAUUUUCCAAGUCAGCUGUAUGUACCAAUUUGCACUCCACAGCAAUAUACAAAAAGUUCCUGUUGAUAUAUUCCUUGUCCACACUUGCCACUUUCUGACUUUUCAAUGUCGACCAAUCUGCUGAAUGUAACAUGAUAUGUUACUCUGGUUUUAGGACCCAUUUCCCUAAUUAUUAAUGAGAUGGAGCAUCCUUUCAUGUUUAGAAGCCAUUGGAUGUUUUUUAUUGUGAAAUACUGUUCAUGUCUUUUUUUCCCUUUUUUUCUAUUUUAUUGUCUUUAUUGAUUUGGAAGUUCUUUAUAAAUGCUGGACAUUAAUUUAUCUGAUAAUACAUAUGUGUACAUAUGUAUGCCAUAUAUGUAUAUAUGCAUAUGACAAAUAUGUUCUAGUUCAUAGCUUAGUUUUUCUCCUUUCUUCCCUCGCUCUCUUCCUUGUUACACUUUUUUUUUUUUUUUUUAACCCAGAGUAUCUAUGGGUUUAGAAAAGGAGGGUGACCCAUUCAGGUCAGCUCAGACCAUCACAUUACAUAGAAAUUCCCAAUAGAUUCUUCCUCUUAAAUAUUCCCAUUGCUUAUAGCAUUUCAGGGCGAAUUUUCUUAGAUAACUUUCUGGAAAGAUAAACAAACAAUUCCUUUGACGUGUGAGUUUUCAUUUUUUAAUUGUGGAAGUAAAAUAAUAAUUUCUUCAUUUCUGUGAGUAACACUUGGAGUUAAAUCAAUUUCUAACAGUCCUCCAUAACCUUAAACCACUGAACACAUAAUUUAUAGGUAAUCACAUAAUUUAUGGCUAAUUUGACAGCUGCUAUAAUGCUUAGCAAAUUUUAAUUUGUUAGAAAUAUUUGCAUAAAUAAUAUUUUGAGAGCCAAGGUUUUCAUUUUGUUAUUUUUAUCCUCUCCAAAGCUAUUAAUUCUACAUGCAAUUUGACUUUUUUUUUUUUUUUUUGCACCCAUGGCAUAUGGAAGCUGCCAGGCUAGGGGAUGAAUUGGAACUGUAGCUGCCAGCCUACGCUACAGCCACAGCAACGCCAGAUCCGCUUACCUCUUCUGUGAUCUACACCACAGCUCAAGGCAACGCUGGAACUUAACCCACUGGGAGAGGCCAGGUAUGGAACCUGUAUCCUCAUGGAUCCUAGUUGGGUUUGUUACCGCUGAGCCAUGACAGGAACUCCAAAUCUACAACGAUUCUUGCUCUCAGGUUAGAUUAAGGCUCUCAGCUGAUUAUAAGUUCUGUAAGGAUAAAGAUCCUGUUGGAGCCCUGUGUACCAUGGAGUACCAUACCUGGCACGUAGUGGUUUGCUCAAAAAAUACUUGCCUAAUAAAUUAUGUGAAAUAUAGAGCCACAAAAACUUGGCUAGGUAUCUUUAGGAAUCUAAAAAUGUUCCCAGCCUAUGGACCAAUAAAUCUGCUUCAAGGUAUGUAUUCUAAGAAAGAAAUCAAAUCAAUGCAGACAGAUGUAUAUACAAGGGUGUUCGUACAAUCAGUUUAUAAUGAAGUAAGUUUAGAAAUACUAAAUGCUAAAUAUUUAACUUGUUCAAACAAUUCUGGAGCAUUCAUAAUGUCAUGAAGUCAUUAAAACUCAUGUUUUCAAAAAAUAUAAGAACUGCAUAUAAAAUGGUCUUAAAUAAAAGACCAUAAAACUGUGUAUUUAAUAUUAUUCAAAUUGUGGUAUAUGGUAUCUAGACAUAGAAAAAACUGGAAAGAAAUAUACCAAUAUUUUUCAGCAGUUGUCUCUGGGUAGCAGGGACCACCAAUAAGUACAAUAACUGCACUAGACUCUGAGGGCCUUGAAAUUAGUAGUAAGUUUUUCCAGGUUGGUAUUUUUACAGUUUGGCAUAGUAUUUGUGAAUGGUGAUUGUCCAUGUGAUUAACUGGAAUCAUACACUUUAUUGAUUGAUGACUGAUUGCUUUUUAGGCCCACACCUGCAGCAUAUGGAGGUUCCCAGGCUAGGGGUUGAAUCAGAGCUGCAGCUUCUGGCCUACACCACAGCCACAGCCACACGGAGUCUGAGCUACUUCUAUGACCCACACCACAUCUUGCGGCAAUGCUGAAUCCGUAACCCACCGAUCGAGGCCAGGGAUCGAACCCUCAUCCUCAUGAAUACUCGUUAGGUUUGUAACCUGCUAAGCCACAACAGAAUCUCCUCAUACACUUUAAAAUAAUAAGAAUUCUUAAUCCUUCAUGGCCCAGUAUCAGUAACUUGUCAUU
rnacentral:lncRNA from 1 species